CGACCCCAGGUCAGGCGGGACUACCCGCUGAUUUUAAGCAUAUAAAUAAGCGGAGGAGAAGAAACUUACCAGGAUUCCCCUAGUAACGACGAGCGAACCGGGAGCAUCCCAGCUUGAGAAUCGGGCGGCUGUGCCGUCCGAAUUGUAAUCUGGAGAGGCGUCCUCAGCGACGGACCGGGCCCAAGUCCCCUGGAAAGGGGCGCCUGGGAGAGUGAGAGCCCCGUCCGGCCCGGACCCUGUCGCCCCACGAGGCGCCGUCAACGAGUCGGGUUGUUUGGGUAUGCAGCCCAAAUCGGGCGGUAGACUCCGUCCAAGGCUAAAUACAGGCGAGAGAUCGAUAGCGAACAAGUACCGCGAGGGAAAGAUGAAAAGGACUUUGACAAGAGAGUCAAAUAGUGCUUGAAAUUAUCGGGAGGGAAGCGGAUGGGGGCCGACGAUGCGCCCCGGCCGUAUGCGGAACGGCUCUUGCUGGUCCGCCGCUCGGCUCGGGGUGUGGACUGUUGUCGGUCGUGCCGGCGGCCAAAGCCCGGGGGCCCUAGGUGCCCCCGGUGGCCGUCGUCGGCACGGCAGGUACCCGCGCGCUAAAAGGCGUGUCCCUCGAGGUACUGCGCUGCAAUGGCCUGCGGGCUCCCCAUCUGACCCGUCUUGAAACACGGACCAAGGAGUCUGACAUGCGUGCGAGUCGACGGGUUCUGAAACCUGGGAUGCGCAAGGAAGCUGACGAGCGGGAGGCCCUCACGGGCCGCACCGCUGGCCGACCCUGAUCUUCUGUGAAGGGUUCGAGUUGGAGCAUGCCUGUCGGGACCCGAAAGAUGGUGAACUAUGCCUGAGCGGGG
rnacentral:ncRNA from 1 species